rnacentral:rRNA from 1 species
UUCUGCUAAGUCGCAAGACGAUGUAUAGGAGCUGACGCCUGCCCGGUGCUGGAAGGUUAAGGGGAUCUGUUAGAGCAAUCGAAGCAGUGAACUUAAGCCCCAGUAAACGGCGGCCGUAACUAUAACGGUCCUAAGGUAGCGAAAUUCCUUGUCGGGUAAGUUCCGACCCGAACGAAAGGCGUAACGAUUUGGGCACUGUCUCAACAACAGACUCGGUGAAAUUGUAAUUCCGGUGAAGAUGCCGGAUACCUGCGACAGGACGGCAAGACCCCAUGGAGCUUUACUGUAGCUUGACAUUGGGGCUUGGUACUACAUGUACAGGAU